GAACCUUUAGUAUAAGUUUUUUAAUACGGGUAAUUGCAAAUUACUAGAUUUUGGUUUU
rnacentral:tRNA from 1 species